UAAGAUCGGUUGCGGUUUAAGUU
rnacentral:siRNA from 1 species